rnacentral:lncRNA from 1 species
CGGGAUUCUGUUAUUUGCAGUUGGAUGAGCUCUGCCUGAAGGACGAGGCUUUAAACAACCAGGGCCUGUUGAUUCUCCAGGGGCCCACGGCAAACACAGCCCUUCAGAACACAAAAACACAGCUGCUCUUUGAAAGAGGCGGAGAGAGGGGAAAAUACUUUGCAUUCUCUUGCGAUGAAUCAGGAGCCAAAAUAAGACCUGGUUCAUUUCUCAAGCGGGUUAUCCUGCCCAACCGCUAUUACUCAUCCCAGCCCCGACCAGCCCGAGGUUGGCGUGGCCCUGGCCCAGGGAGCCUGCCGUGCUCAGAGCCUCCCCAGAUUUUCCACGCUCGUGUGAAAAGCGUGUGCGUCGUGGCUCCUUCUCCUCCGGCUCAUCCUCCUGGGAGCUGGGCUGUCUGGAGCUCCAGGGUCCAGCCAAGUCAACCCCUAACAAAACGCAGGGAUGCACAGGGAGCCUCUGGAAACCUCGCCCCUGCAGAGAGGUCCAGAGAAGCUGGCCUGGCCGCUUCUUACUGAGCAGCGGGCUAGCACAGGACCUCAGCAUCAAGGAGGGGUCAGCCGGGGAUAGAUGAGGAAAGGCUUCAAAGGUUGGGCCGAGGAGCCUCCGGUGGCUCCUCGUUCCGUGGCUUGUGGCCUCUCGCGGCAUCUCUGGGUCUCAGAUCUCCCCCACCUUUCUCUGAUAAAGACAGCGAUCACUGGAUGCAGGGCCCACCGUCCAUCCAGAUCCUUAACUUGAUGACAUCUGCAAAGACCCUCUUUCCAAAUAGGGUCACAGUCACAGGCACCGCUACAAGGAAAUUACAAUGACACUCAUGACUCACAUAAAUUAUCUUUCUGCUGGGGGAGACUGGCGUCAAGGAAGUGCCCGCUGUGAACAUUCUCAGAAGGUUACCCAGACGCGUGCGUUCUCCUUGUGCUUCUAAAAUUGCUCCUGUCCCGUCAGUGGCCGGCCCGGCGGGGAUGCGCCAGGCAGGGCGUAAUUGCUGCCCUCUGCUCACCUCCGGAGGCACACGCUGUUCCCAUUUUUCUUGCGAUCAGUACCUCUGAGACACACACUUUCGAACUAGCGCUGGAGAUAUCUGGAAAUAAAGUCAAAUCUUUGUAUAUGAUGAAAAUAUUUUGGAAAAGAAAUAUCCAGUCUUAAAUCAACAGAAAUAAAAUCUAGGUACAUCUUGAAUAAACAAAACAAAAUGUAAUUUUGGAAGGGGUGCCUAGGCUGGGCCAGGCUCCCCAGGGGAUCGG